GCAAGUCGAACGAAGUCUUCGGACUUAGUGGCGGACGGGUGAGUAACACGUGGGAACGUGCCUUUAGGUUCGGAAUAACUCAGAGAAACUUGUGCUAAUACCGAAUGUGCCCUUCGGGGGAAAGAUUUAUCGCCUUUAGAGCGGCCCGCGUCUGAUUAGCUAGUUGGUGAGGUAAAGGCUCACCAAGGCGACGAUCAGUAGCUGGUCUGAGAGGAUGAUCAGCCACAUUGGGACUGAGACACGGCCCAAACUCCUACGGGAGGCAGCAGUGGGGAAUCUUGCGCAAUGGGCGAAAGCCUGACGCAGCCAUGCCGCGUGAAUGAUGAAGGUCUUAGGAUUGUAAAAUUCUUUCACCGGGGACGAUAAUGACGGUACCCGGAGAAGAAGCCCCGGCUAACUUCGUGCCAGCAGCCGCGGUAAUACGAAGGGGGCUAGCGUUGCUCGGAAUUACUGGGCGUAAAGGGAGCGUAGGCGGACAUUUAAGUCAGGGGUGAAAUCCCGGGGCUCAACCUCGGAAUUGCCUUUGAUACUGGGUGUCUUGAGUGUGAGAGAGGUAUGUGGAACUCCGAGUGUAGAGGUGAAAUUCGUAGAUAUUCGGAAGAACACCAGUG
rnacentral:rRNA from 1 species